CGUUGGGCGGGAUUCUCGUGGUGUGACGGUCCCCCCAGCGGGCGGGCGUGGGCGUGGUCCCCUCCAUCCACGAGCGGCGACUUCACCCUCUCGGCUCUGGUCCAGGAUGCUGAUCUCGGAAAUGGAGCCCUGGAGGUUAUGAGUAUGAUGCUUCCAUAUACGUUUGGAUGUUUUCAGCUAAGUUCACUUCUGAACUGUGGGGUUCCUCCAAGUGUUGCCUGAAAUCUGUCCUUGAGCAUCCCCACGCUCAUCUAAUCUACAGUCCAUAAUGGAGCCACUGUACUGGCUUUUGGAAGGAGGAGAUUCUGAAGAUAGGGAGAUUCAGCAAUCAGUCUUUGAAAUUUCCUGUGGUCUGUUCAAUCUAGAUGCAAAGGACAUGGAAAAAUCAAGUGCUCAAGUGGUUUAAAUAUGUUUUGGAUAUUCUUAUUUAUAGAUUACAGGAUUUUUCCAAUUAAAAUCCACAGUUGUCAUGCAGAAGGAGGUUAUGCCCUUCUUGAUCACCAGUUUUAUUUGAAAUGCUUAGCAUUAUAGUGUGUUACUGAAUGCUGUUUUAAUCAAAGUAUAGAAAAAUAAAAACAAUUUUAUAUGUUGA